rnacentral:sRNA from 1 species
ACCAGGCGUGGUGGCGCACGCCUAUAAUCCCAGCAUUUUGGGAGGUUGAGUUGGGAGGAUCACCUGAGGUCAGGAGUUCAAGACCAGCCUGGCCAACAUGGUGAAACCCCAUCUCCA